UACGGGGGGGGGCAAGCGUUGUUCGGAAUUACUGGGCGUAAAGGGCUCGUAGGCGGCCAACUAAGUCAGACGUGAAAUCCCUCAGCUUAACUGGGGAACUGCGUCUGAUACUGGAUGGCUUGGAUCCGGAAGAGGGAUGCGGAAUUCCAGGUGUAGCGGUGAAAUGCGUAGAUAUCUGGAGGAACACCGGUGGCGAAGGCGGCAUCCUGGACCGGCAUUGACGCUGAGGCGCGAAAGCCAGGGGAGCAAAGCGGG
rnacentral:rRNA from 1 species